rnacentral:lncRNA from 1 species
AAUUCCUCUGUGCAGAAAAAAUGGCACCCAUUGACAUUUAUUGAUGUUUGCUGAACUCUAUAGAGACAAAAUAGUGGACGUGAGCACAGUGAAGAGGUGGGUGGUGCAAUUUGGCAGUGGAGACAGUGACAUGAAAGACAAGCCUCGUUCCAGACAGCUGUGUACAGCUGUCACACUGCAAAAUGAAGAGUAUCUCCAUAAGCUCAUCUGUGAAAAUUGGCUAAUAGUGGUGACCAUGCUGGAAAAAUAGUGUUUGUUGCUGAGGGAUUCCCUCUAUCAAAUAUUGUUAUUUUGUUCUUUGUAUCUGUUGCAGUUUCCACAGAAACAAAUAGGAAGCAUUACUUUUGGAAUGACCUACAUUUGUAAUCAUUAUUUGGGCCCAGUUCUGAGUUCAAUAGAAGACACAGUCUGGGAAAGCACAUGCUGUCCAGAGGCUUAAUGGCAAUUCUCUAGGAUCCUGACAUUUCAAGAAAUAGCGUAUCAAGAAUGCAGAAGCCAAAGGAGUUCCUGCACAUUUCAAACAGAAGAUAAUAUAUGAUCCUGGGAUGUAUCUUCAUAGGCCCACUGCCCACCUGUAUGAGUAUUUUUAUAGUCUUCAGGUAAACACUAGUAUCAAAGAUAGGUUAUCAAUGUGUACUCUUUUUUAAUAGAAUUACU